rnacentral:rRNA from 1 species
UAGCUUCAGCGAUGAAUCGGUUGAUUCGUGUAGCGAUGACAAGCGCAGCUAGCUACGUUAUUUACCACGAAUUGCAGACGCUUAGAGUGGCGAAAUUUUGAACGCAUAGCGCCGUUGGGUUCUCUCUUCGGUACGUCUGGUUCAGAGUCU